rnacentral:rRNA from 1 species
CGCUAUCACUCCUACGGGAGGCAGCAGUGGGAAUCUUGCGCAAUGGGCGAAAGCCUGACGCAGCCAUGCCGCGUGGAUGAUGAAGGUCUUAGGAUUGUAAAAUCCUUUCACCGGGGACGAUAAUGACGGUACCCGGAGAAGAAGCCCCCGGCUAACUUCGUGCCAGCAGCCGCGGUAAUACGAAGGGGGCUAGCGUUGCUCGGAAUUACUGGGCGUAAAGGGCGCGUAGGCGGACAGUUAAGUUGGGGUGAAAGCCCCGGGGCUCAACCUCGGAAUUGCCUUCAAUACUGGCUGUCUUGAGUACGGGAGAGGUGAGUGGAACUCCGAGUGUAGAGGUGAAAUUCGUAGAUAUUCGGAAGAACACCAGUGGCGAAGGCGACUCACUGGCCCGUUACUGACGCUGAGGCGCGAAAGCGUGGGGAGCAAACAGGAUUAGAUACCCUGGUAG